ensembl:lncRNA
GCAAAUAAUAUCGACCCUUUCAACAAUGUUUUCAUAGCCUUUUUUAUUAAGCUGUUGUGACAUUGCCUAGUAGUUCAUUUUGUACUAUUGGUUCUUUACUUAAAGAUAUUGUACUUAUAGACCACCUACAACAGUCUUAUCUAAAACAGGGAGAUUAUCAAGAAAAAGUCAAAAGAAGUCCAAUGUGUGAAUUUUUUGUUUGUUUUUUCCUUGUACAGGAAUUCAUGAUUCUUCAGUGGAGCUGACAUGGGUUUCUGAGGCUCUGAAACAGGACAACCAACCACACAGACAACUGGCAUUCAUGUCAUUCCUUUGAAGCAUCGUCAGUGACAAGCAUUUAGCUGAGGUGCUUAUGUCAAGAUUCAAGCUGUUAAAAGUCAAUGUCAAUCACCAAAAGAUAAAAUCUUAAAAAUCAAUUUAUGAAGGAGCUGGAUUAUUCUAAAGCUAAGCAAGACCAAAGUCCUACUGGUUGUCAUUGGAAAGCACUCUGACGGACCAGCAGUCUCCGUGAGCAGAAGGCACAGAGCCACGUUCGCCGGUUUGGCCGGGACCUCAGGACUGUGGACUCCUUGGGGCUCAUGGGAUACUUCUGAAGUGUCUGCAAAAGUACAUCAUAAUCAGGCAUGUCAAGUGGGGUCAGGCUGGAAUACACAGCUGGAGGAACAGGAAGAAGAAAUUUGUGAGAGCAAGUGCACGGGAAGAAAGCAGGGCUGCUAUGAAAGGACACAAAAGAGGACUUGGAGACUGUGUGAAGAAUGUGUUAGAAAUGGACUGGAGGUCUGCUAUUUUUACCAAAGGACCUUUGAGAGAAGAGUGCUUUACAGUAAAGACCAGCUGUUGCUCGUGGUCUUAAUUCUGGAUCUGAAACUUCCUGCCUGGUUCCGUGAGCCUCAAAGCAGCAAGAAGAGAAAAGAGCUGCAGGCUCCAUACAGUGAGAUGUCAAGGAGACGGGUGCAAGAUCAACAUGCCAUAGAACCAAAUUUCCAGCAAAAGCACAGUGUCUCCGUACGUGUCCACAGGCCAGGGGCGUAACAAGAUUGAUGCUCAGCCAAGGGGUGGGUACCAAGAGGUACAUGGGGUGCCUGACACCCGUCUGCCUGCUCCCUGUGGAGAUCUAGCAUCUCUGCUACUCCGGGUCUGUCAUUUUGCACAGCAUAAGGGGCAACGGAGAGACUUUGCUGGAUUUCUCUCUUUUAGAGGACGUUUGGAAGGAUCUAAUAUUUCCUUGUGCGGGAUAAACUCGUCCUGACGUCCCUUCCCGCUGCCCUGUGCCAUCCCCGGCCCUGUCCCUGCCCUGCCGCUUCCCUCUCCCCUCAGGCGGGCCCUCGCCCUCAGCCCCGGCUUCCCCGGCGGCACCGGGCCCUCACGGCGCCCUCUGCCCCCGGUCCCUGCGGCUCCUCAGCCGCCCGCCAUGCCGGCCCAGGACCCCGGCCGCAUCCCCUCACCCUCCCCGCGGCUCUGCGUCGCCUCCCCCUUCCCUCCGCUCUCCUCCUCCCCUCAGGCAGCCGCACGCACCGCACUCUCCCUCACUCUCACACGCACACACACACACACGCACACCCGCACAGGCGAUGCAGCUUUAAAGGGACCA